CGGGGAACAAGGAAACAAAGUAUUUGAAGCAUGCAACAUUUUAGUACUUCAAGAGCUCAUAACAGAACUGUAGACAGGGGAAAUUCAAUGGACUUUGUUGUGAAGAAGAUUGAAGGUACAUUUACAGCUAAGUAAUCAAUCUGAUAGUUGAGUAGGAACAUUUAUUUGUACAGUGAACAAUCUGAGCUUAUGUUGGCUUGUCAUUUAUUUGGUCCUGAAUACACAUGAACCAUGCUCUCAAUUGCAGCAAUACUCUCCCAUCUCUCAAUAAAACAUGUAUUAUUAUUUUCUUCUCUGUUCUGAUGUAGCCUUGCUUAUUUAAAUGUGUUACACUUCAAAUGAUAUUUUUUGCUUUUUAUUAUGGCCACUGAGUGUUUCAGUAAUAUGUCUUUACAUCCUUCUCUGACUAGAGUUGGAUAUAUCCAGGUAUCACACGAAGGGCCACUGUAGGAAGCUUGGCUCGCCAAAGAAUGAUACCACAGAUGAUCUUCCUGAUAACACUAGGACUGCAGAGAGAGGUUGUGAGAGUCAGGUACAGGUGCAGUCAAAGGCCAUAGAGACAACUCCCUCCAGACUCAACCCCAGUCUCUCAGACCUCCUCUCUAGGCUCGGCACCACCAACCUGGGCAGCGACCAGCACCUCGCCAGUAGGCCCUCUGACCAACACCUCCACCAAGACACCAUUGUCCACAGCUACUCCCUCAACCUGGACACUCAAACCCUGGCAGGGUCCAACAGUUUGACAGGCACCGACCCUCACCCUCACCCCCAGCCGCCGCAGACCAUGUACUACCACCACCGCUCUGACUCCCAGAGGUCACUGUGUGGCGAGGUGGAUCCUCUCUUUAUCCACAAGGUCACGGCUGCAGAAUUAGUCUGCGGGGAGAGUAAGUACAAGUGCUCAGGCUGCCUGAGGUACUACGACCACCUGGGGACCCUGCUGGGUCACAUCGACCAGGGCUGGAGCGAGGGCUUCAGCUGCAGGGUGUUCUACAGGAAGCUGAAGAGCAUGCAGGACCGCAGCCCCAUGGUCAUGAUGAGUUGCCAGAGCAAGGAUGCCCAGGCCCUGGAUAUCGACCCAAAGCACUCUAGCUCCUCCAUCAUUCGCC
ensembl:lncRNA